AGUGAACGCUGGCGGUAGGCCUAACACAUGCCAGUCGAACGGCAGCACAGUAAGAGCUUGCUCUUACGGGUGGCGAGUGGCGGACGGGUGAGGAAUACAUCGGAAUCUACUUUUUCGUGGGGGAUAACGUAGGGAAACUUACGCUAAUACCGCAUACGACCUACGGGUGAGAGCAGGGGAUCUUCGGACCUUGCGCGAUUGAAUGAGCCGAUGUCGGAUUAGCUAGUUGGCGGGGUAAAGGCCCACCAAGGCGACGAUCCGUAGCUGGUCUGAGAGGAUGAUCAGCCACACUGGAACUGAGACACGGUCCAGACUCCUACGGGAGGCAGCAGUGGGGAAUAUUGGACAAUGGGCGCAAGCCUGAUCCAGCCAUACCGCGUGGGUGAAGAAGGCCUUCGGGUUGUAAAGCCCUUUUGUUGGGAAAGAAAAGCAGCAGGAUAAUACCCCGCUGUUCUGACGGUACCCAAAGAAUAAGCACCGGCUAACUUCGUG
rnacentral:rRNA from 1 species